UGAAGAAGUUAAUUAGGGUGCCAGACUGUGAUAGUCAUGAGCCAAGGGCCAUCGCUAUGAUAGUUGUGAGCCGGAGUAAGCUUGGUGCUACCUCUUUUCUUUUGUUUGUUAUUUUCUUUGAAUAACAGGAUUGAAAGUUUCUGAAUAUUGUGAAGUAAAUUAUGGAAUGGAAAUAUGAUUGGUAUUAUUUGAGAAGAAGAAAGAUUGAAUGCUGAAAUUUGAUUAUAGUUC
rnacentral:lncRNA from 1 species